AGGGGCGUCGCCAAGCGGUAAGGCAGCAGGUUUUGAUCCUGCCAUGCGUUGGUUCAAAUCCAGCCGCCCCUGCCA
rnacentral:tRNA from 82 species